UACGAAGGGGGCUAGCGUUGCUCGGAAUCACUGGGCGUAAAGCGCCCGUAGGCGGACUCUUAAGUCGGUGGUGAAAUCCUGGAGCUCAACUCCAGAACUGCCUUCGAUACUGGGAGUCUCGAGUCCGAGAGAGGUGAGUGGAACUGCGAGUGUAGAGGUGAAAUUCGUAGAUAUUCGCAAGAACACCAGUGGCGAAGGCGGCUCACUGGCUCGGUACUGACGCUGAGGUGCGAAAGCGUGGGGAGCAAACAGG
rnacentral:rRNA from 1 species